rnacentral:tRNA from 1 species
GUCUCAGUGGCGUAGCAGUUAACGCGCAAGCUUUCAAUAGGCGAAAGACGCGGGUUCGAAUCCCGCAUGUGACG